UUCCUUUAUCUAGCAUAAUAUCGAAACAAGAUUUUGAAGACCGCGAGUGAAAGCAAUUACGGAAGAAACUGCUGCCGUGUUUCGAGUUUUUUUUUUUUUACCAGUAAAGAAGAUCACGGGAGCAUCAUAUUCAGGUUGUGAAGGGAGUGUUCAUGCCAUUAUCCCCUUCGAAGGGGAUUCAUUAUCUUGGCAUGUGACGAAAAAUAGUACUAUCGAAAUAGUACUUUGAAGGGGAUUCAUAUCUAUUGUGCCUUUAGUAUUAAAGGAAUUACAGUGUCUCCAAUGGUGAUCACCAAAGUUGAAAUGCAACAAUAUCCAGUGACGAUAGAAAUAUCGGAAUGAACAACUCUUGCACACCUUCUUAUAAAGUCGUGGACAUGAAUUUGAAUACCAGAUGCAUCAUCCUUUUUUCACAAGAACCUAUGUUCUCAAAAAAAUAAGUACUACCAAUUAAACUUUCUAUGUUGUCAUAAUUGUAACUUUCAGAUUUAUGGAGUGAUAAUUGCAAUUUUCUAAAAAUUAUAUUGUGAUAAUUGUAAUUUUUUGAAUACUUAAUAGUGAUAAUUGCAAGUUUCUUUAUA